AACAAACGCUGGCGGCGUGCCUAAUACAUGCAAGUCGAACGGGGAAAGCUUUCGGGUGAGUACUAGUGGCGCACGGGUGAGGAACGCGUGGAUAAUCUGCCUUAGAGUGGGGGAUAACUAGCCGAAAGAUUAGCUAAUACCGCAUAAGACCACGAGAGCUGCGGCUUUUGAGGUCAAAGGUUUUUCGCUCUAAGAUGAGUCCGCGUAAGAUUAGCUAGUUGGUGAGGUAACGGCUCACCAAGGCGACGAUCUUUAACUGGUCUGAGAGGAUGAUCAGUCACACUGGAACUGAGACACGGUCCAGACUCCUACGGGAGGCAGCAGUAGGGAAUAUUGCACAAUGGAGGAAACUCUGAUGCAGCGACGCCGCGUGAGUGAUGAAGGCCUUCGGGUCGUAAAGCUCUGUCGCAGGGGAAUAACACAAUGAAGGUACCCUGUAAGAAAGGAUCGGCUAACUUCGUG
rnacentral:rRNA from 1 species